CCUUCGAUAGCUCAAUUGGUAGAGCGGGGGACUGUAGAUUUAUAAUUGUGAUCCCUAGGUCGCUGGUUCGAAUCCGGCUCGAAGAA
rfam:Nematostella vectensis strain CH2 x CH6 NEMVEscaffold_285_Cont22401, whole genome shotgun sequence.